rnacentral:rRNA from 1 species
CUCGAAAGCGGGGUAGCAAACAGGAUUAGAUACCUGGUAGUCCACGCCGUAAACGAUGUCUGCUAGUCGUUGGGUCCCUUGAGGACUUAGUGACGCAGCUAACGCAAUAAGUAGACCGCCUGGGGAGUACGGCCGCAAGGUUAAAACUCAAAUGAAUUGACGGGGGCCCGCACAAGCGGUGGAGCAUGUGGUUUAAUUCGAUGCAACGCGAAGAACCUUACCUGGUCUUGACAUAUCUAGAAUCCUGCAGAGAUGCGGGAGUGCCUUCGGGAAUUAGAAUACAGGUGCUGCAUGGCUGUCGUCAGCUCGUGUCGUGAGAUGUUGGGUUAAGUCCCGCAACGAGCGCAACCCUUGUCCUUAGUUACCAGCGGGUUAAGCCGGGAACUCUAAGGAUACUGCCAGUGACAAACUGGAGGAAGGCGGGGACGACGUCAAGUCAUCAUGGCCCUUACGACCAGGGCUACACACGUGCUACAAUGGUAGGUACAGAGGGCAGCUACACAGCGAUGUGAUGCGAAUCUCAAAAAGCCUAUCGUAGUCCAGAUUGGAGUCUGCAACUCGACUCCAUGAAGUAGGAAUCGCUAGUAAUCGCGGAUCAGAAUGCCGCGGUGAAUACGUUCCCGGGCCUUGUACACACCGCCCGU